GACGAACGCUGGCGGCGUGCUUAACACAUGCAAGUCGAACGGAAAGGCCCUGCUUUUGUGGGGUGCUCGAGUGGCGAACGGGUGAGUACACGUGAGUAACCUGCCCUUGACUUUGGGAUAACUUCAGGAAACUGGGGCUAAUACCGGAUAGGAGCUCCUGCUGCAUGGUGGGGGUUGGAAAGUUUCGGCGGUUGGGGAUGGACUCGCGGCUUAUCAGCUUGUUGGUGGGGGAGUGGCUUACCAAGGCUUUGACGGGUAGCCGGCCUGAGAGGGUGACCGGCCACAUUGGGACUGAGAUACGGCCCAGACUCCUACGGGAGGCAGCAGUGGGGAAUAUUGCACAAUGGGCGGAAGCCUGAUGCAGCAACGCCGCGUGCGGGAUGACGGCCUUCGGGUUGUAAACCGCUUUCGCCUGUGACGAAGCGUGAGUGACGGUAAUGGGUAAAGAAGCACCGGCUAACUACGUG
rnacentral:rRNA from 1 species